GAAAACUAUUCCAUCAAUUCUUUACUGUAUUCUUUCUUUUUUAUUCCUGGGUCUCUGCCAAACACUUUGCAGCUCAUACAAAUACCAUCUUUCAUGAAUAUGUCACUGAUAAGGAUAUGUUUGUAGCCACUGAUUAAGAUAUCUGAACUGAUUUGCAGUGUAAAAAAAUAUUCAAAAGUGCUCAGAAACCAUUUAGAGUGGUCCCACUUCAAUAGGAUAAAUUAAAUGUGUUUUUCUACACCCCUCCUCCCUUGACAUUUCCUUUCAACUUGAAGAGAACUUCUGUGGCUUGCUGCAGAUUGUAAAGGAUGGACUGAAUAGAAAUUGAUGUUAUAUGCUAAAAGUUAGGGGAUAUGCUGUAAGCUGUGCAAAUUUGGCAGUGAACAAAGAGCAAGUCCUUAUAUUAGGAUGUUUGCUUCUACAGUCAUUUAUUUAAUCUGCAGUGAAAAGUUAUCUCUUGUAAGGAGACAGAUAUAUGCUAUUUUGUGGAGCUUUAGAGGGUAGUGUUUCUGUAAUUGCCCUAUCAGUUUGACCAAUCACUGGAAACAAGAAAAAAAAUAAGCCCAAGAACAUAUACAUGUAAGAGUACCAAGAAUGAGUACAGCUUAAAAUAAAUGUAGUUCUGACAAAAGUGGCUCAAGUAUCAUACAUCAAACACUUGUUACCUCUGCUGGCCUUAGUGACUGCACAUAACUAAGAACAAAUCAGUGAUAAAAUUUCAAGAAAGAUGAAACCGUCUGGGCCUUUGCAAAGACCAUCAGUCAUUCUGCAGAGCCAUAAUGUUAUUUGUUCAAGUAAUCCUUCGCUUCCUAGUUAAUGGACUUAAUACUCCCUCCACCCCUAGACUAAAUUCACAAAGGAAAUCUUUUUCUUUUUUAAAAUUGGACACAUCUUCCAGAGGAAUUAUAAGAUCUGGUCACAAAACAAGCUACUAAAUUAUUCAGUUAAUUCAUAAAUUUGCAUUCUCACAGCAUCUUGCUGUCAGUGUAGGGUUUAAAAAAUUUUACUGUUUUAAUUAAGUACUUAUUUAAUCAGAAAUAAAGUCCCUAUAGAGUCACAAGAAUUUUAUGAUUUCUCAAUACUGUCUUUCUAGAUAUACAAACAUUUUCCAUUAUAUGACAAAGGUCUACCCAGGUACAUCAAAAUAAAGUAUGCAACUCUUAUGGAAGACACUCAGAUUUUAAAAUAUACAAGUGGAGAUAGAUCAGCUGCAACAAUGAUAUCUAAGCAUAAACUACUUAAAUUUAAUGGAAAUAUUAGUCAAUAUCUGCUACUAUGAAUAUGCAAAUUACAUUAGAAGUGAAAAUAUUUUAGGCUUAAUUGCCACUGUGGUGGUUUUGACUUGGCUCUAUAAUUAACAUCUACAUUCUCGACUUUGUGACUGCUGUAAACAUUAUUUAUGAAAGUUUUAUCCAGAUAUAAUUUGGUGUUUUUGUUUUUGUCAGAUACUGGUGUCUAAUGAAAUAAAAUGCAAAGAACACAUUUUUCUGAGUGGUUCAUCAACAAUCAUUUCCUACAGCUCCUUUCCUAUACACAACCACAAUAUGAUUCUAACACUAGGGAAACAGUAUGUUAUAUUGCUACUACUCAUGUUGUUUUACCAUUUAUUGAGAUAGAAUCUGGACAAUUGCAAGAAAAUAGCAAACAUACACAUAGAUUUAGGCAAUUAUUUGAUUCUCCUUUGUAUACUCUAUAGCAUACACACCCAUAAUAUAGUGUUUUGAUACAGUCUUAUGAAGUGGAUCAGAAUUGGAGUAUUCUAUGGCAGACCAUGUACUAGAAAUCAGAUGUGUUUUUUCUCCUCUUGCACACAUGUGUGCAUUCACAAUGGGGAGGGGAGAGAAUGAAGAGGAGUUCAGCCUUUGAUGAGCUUACCUAAAAUUUUGGCAGUAGAGGGUAUUUUAAUUUGA
rnacentral:lncRNA from 1 species